AUUGAACGCUGGCGGCAGGCCUAACACAUGCAAGUCGAACGAGUGGCGGACGGGUGAGUAAUGUCUGGGAAACUGCCCGAUGGAGGGGGAUAACUACUGGAAACGGUAGCUAAUACCGCAUCCCAUCAGAUGUGCCCAGAUGGGAUUAGCUAGUAGGUGGGGUAACGGCUCACCUAGGCGACGAUCCCUAGCUGGUCUGAGAGGAUGACCAGCCACACUGGGACUGAGACACGGCCCAGACUCCUACGGGAGGCAGCAGUGGGGAAUUUUGGACAAUGGGGGAAACCCUGAUCCAGCCAUCCCGCGUGUGCGAAGAAGGCCUUCGGGUUGUAAAGUACUUUCAGCGAGGAGGCGUUACUCGCAGAAGAAGCACCGGCUAACUCCGUGCCAGCAGCCGCGGUAAUAC
rnacentral:rRNA from 1 species